UACGUAGGGACCAAGCGUUGUUCGGAUUUACUGGGCGUAAAGGGCGCGUAGGCGGCAUGACAAGUCACUUGUGAAAUCUCCGGGCUUAACUCGGAACGGUCAAGUGAUACUGUCGCGCUAGAGUGCGGAAGGGGCAAUCAGAAUUCUUGGUGUAGCGGUGAAAUGCGUAGAUAUCAAGAGGAAUACCUGAGGUGAAGACGGGUUGCUAGGCCGACACUGACGGCUGAAGCGCGAAAGCCAGGGGAGCAAACGGG
rnacentral:rRNA from 1 species